AUUGAACGCUGGCGGCAGGCCUAACACAUGCAAGUCGAGCGGGAACUUCGGUUCUAGCGGCGGACGGGUGAGUAAUGCGUAGGAAGCUACCCGACAGAGGGGGAUACCAGUUGGAAACGACUGUUAAUACCGCAUAAUGUCUACGGACCAAAGUGUGGGACCUUCGGGCCACAUGCUGUCGGAUGCGCCUACGUGGGAUUAGCUAGUUGGUGAGGUAAUGGCUCACCAAGGCGACGGUCCCUAGCUGGUUUGAGAGGAUGAUCAGCCACACUGGAACUGAGACACGGUCCAGACUCCUACGGGAGGCAGCAGUGGGGAAUAUUGGACAAUGGGCGCAAGCCUGAUCCAGCCAUGCCGCGUGUGUGAAGAAGGCCUUCGGGUUGUAAAGCACUUUCAGUAGGGAGGAAGGAGUUGUCGUUAAUAGCUGCAACUUUUGACGUUACCUACAGAAGAAGCACCGGCUAACUCUGUGCCAGCCGCCGCCGUAAAAC
rnacentral:rRNA from 1 species